rnacentral:rRNA from 1 species
UACAGAGGGUGCGAGCGUUGUUCGGAAUUACUGGGCGUAAAGGGCGCGUAGGCGGCCUGCUAAGUCGAACGUGAAAUCCCCGGGCUCAACCCGGGAACUGCGUCCGAUACUGGUUGGCUUGAAUCCGGGAGAGGGAUGCGGAAUUCCAGGUGUAGCGGUGAAAUGCGUAGAUAUCUGGAGGAACACCGGUGGCGAAGGCGGCAUCCUGGACCGGCAUUGACGCUGAGGCGCGAAAGCCAGGGGAGCAAACGGG